CUGGGCUGGAUUGACACACAGUAAGUAAGGAGCCGAGGCUGGGGAGACGCUCCACAAACGCCGCUGUAAAUAAAUACAACAAUCACUGAGGCCGGAGAAACAUGGAGAACCAGUAUGCAAGGAGCCUCUGUACAGAGUGCAAGAGUUGUGCUGCACAGGCCCCCACAUCCCCAUUGAGGUUUACUUCAAGAAUAAGGAGGAGCCAAAAAAGGUGUGUUUCAACUAUGACCUGUUCCUUAACUUGGAGGGCAACCCCCCGGUCAACCACCUACGCUGUGAGAAGCUCACCUUCAACAACCCCACCAAAGAAUUCAGGAGAAAGCUGAUCAAAGCUGGAGGGGUAAUGGUUCCAGAGGUGGCUGAGUCUGUGCCAGGGCCCAGUUCAGACUGCCCCGUGCCCCCCAACAAAGAAGAUCAAGACCUCUCAUGUGUCAGAGGAAACUGGCAAAGAAGGAAGUGGUGGAAGCAGCCAUUCUAUACAAACUGACCAUGGAGCACCAUGGAUGGCCCCAAAAAGAACUCUGGGACCAAAGCUACCUCAAAGGGGACAACAACAGUGGUGGAAGCAGCAAGAGUUGUUGUUGUUUUUGUCUAUAAACUGCACGUGCAGGCCGAGCCAGAAUAUUUUAUAUGCAAAUAGACGUGUGCCUCCAUUCAUGUGAUCCUAUUUUAAUAACACCAAUGGAUCCUUUAGAAAGAAAUGCAAAGGUGUUCUCUGCAUGCAGAUGUUCAACAGUGACCUCCUGUGGGCUGCUGAGAUUAUUUGUAAUUGUUUGACUGAAAUUGUCUGACUCACUUCAGACACAUUUGUGUAGCAGGGUGGAGAAGAGGUUUGACUGUAUCCUCCAGGGACUGACAUAAACCACUAAUUGUGUCUGGAAAUAUACGUGAUAAAGUAACAGCUUUUUCAAAUGAUAUCAAAAAGGUGUGUCUUAAGAUAUAAAAGGUUUGUCAAUGAAGUUCAUAGUCUUUCUUCAAGUGUAUUAACAACGUUAUUUGGUGAAAUCAUGAUGAAGUUAUGGGGCUUCAAGAGGAGGAGAUUGCUUAUCAGAGUCUAAGCCUAGUUGAUGAGUGGUGUGCCAAGAAGAGUAGUCGAAAGAGGAUGAAAGCUGGGAUGGCACUUUAGCCAUCCUACAUUUACACUGUUACUUAUUUAAAAAGUAGAUGUAGAAGAAAAGAAAUUUCUGAAGAACAUGUUUGUGUGUCUGCAGGUAGCAACCCACUGCUCCCCACACUUGUUUAUUAAAUUUGUUCAGAUUUUUUUGAGUGAAGGUCCUGUAAGUUUUGACACAAUAAUAGCAUAAUUUUUAUUAUGUAACUUAUUCUAAUUUAUAUUUUAUUUAUAAAUCACAGUUGUUGACACAUUUUGAAACAUUUUCUAUUAAUUAUAA